GCGUUAUUCGGAAUUAUUGGGCGUAAAGGGCGCGUAGGCGGCCAUGCGUGUCUUCCGUGAAAUCCCUCGGCUCAACCGAGGACGUGCGGAAGAAACUGCAAGGCUCGAGUCCGGAAGAGGGGGGCGGAAUUCCCAGUGUAGCGGUGAAAUGCGUAGAUAUUGGGAGGAACACCAGUGGCGAAGGCGGUCCCCUGGGCCGGAACUGACGCUGAGGCGCGAAAGCGUG
rnacentral:rRNA from 1 species